rnacentral:tRNA from 1 species
GACCCCUUCAUCUAGCGGUCAAGGAUACUGCCCUUUCUAGGCAGUUACGGAAGUUCAAAUCUUUCAGGGGUCGCCA